GACGAACGCUGGCGGCGUGCUUAACACAUGCAAGUCGAACGGAAAGGCCCUGCUUUUGUGGGGUGCUCGAGUGGCGAACGGGUGAGUAACACGUGAGUAACCUGCCCUUGACUUUGGGAUAACUUCAGGAAACUGGGGCUAAUACCGGAUAGGAGCUCCUGCUGCAUGGUGGGGGUUGGAAAGUUUCGGCGGUUGGGGAUGGACUCGCGGCUUAUCAGCUUGUUGGUGGGGUAGUGGCUUACCAAGGCUUUGACGGGUAGCCGGCCUGGGAGGGUGACCGGCCACAUGAGGACUGAGAUACGGCCCAGACUCCUACGGGAGGCAGCAGUGGGGAAUAUUGCACAAUGGGCGGAAGCCUGAUGCAGCAACGCCGCGUGCGGGAUGACGGCCUUCGGGUUGUAAACCGCUUUCGCCUGUGACGAAGCGUGAGUGACGGUAAUGGGUAAAGAAGCACCGGCUAACUACGUG
rnacentral:rRNA from 1 species